rnacentral:rRNA from 1 species
UGAAGCUGGAAUUGCUAGUAAUGGCAGGUCAGCAUACUGCCGUGAACACGUUCCCGGGCCUUGUACACACCGCCCGUCACACCAUGAGAGUUGGAAAUACCCGAAGCCUGUGAGCUAACUUAAAGAGGCAGCAGUCGAAGGUAGAGCCAAUGAUUGGGGUGAAGUCGUAACAAGGUAGC